AGUUUUAUUAAAUUGCCAAAAAUUAUUUGAAGUUUUUAAAUUGAAAUGAUGCAUGUUAUUGCUUAUAAUUUGGUAAAAGUUCAACAAUUAGUACUAAAAAUACAAUAUAAUAAAAUUUUCAUUGCAAUUUAGUCAUUUACAUUUUUGCAGUGCUCAUCCCACCCCCCACAUGUAAUCCUGCUUCUGCCAAUGCAUAUGCAUGAAAUAUGGGAUGGAAAAGGAUGGUAAACACAUUCGCUAGCUAAAUAUAUAUACACUAAAAAAAGAAACAGAAAACUUUUGCUUACACAUAAAGGAAGUGAAGGCCUCUUAUAACUGGAUGCUAAUGAAAUAAAACAGCAAGCAUGAUAUUCAAGUGUUCAUUGAUAAGUACAUUCAAUGAGGAUUGAGGAAGAUGUGUCAUCAAUAACCUUGUUUGAUGAAUGAAUGAUGGUUUAGUUAAAAGGGCAAUAGGCAAUACAUAGACACCCAAUUAUGGUCCCAUAAAGGGCCAUGACAUAAUUAUCUUAUAAGAUCUUUUGGGGAAGCACAAUGAGCUCCCAGUUACAAAUGAUGCCAUCCAAAACUCUCAAGUUAUUCAUCUUAUGACAUCUGGAUUACAAAUGGUGUCACAUAGUCAUCUCAAGGCACUGUAAUAUUAUUUUGGAUAAAUGAAU
rnacentral:misc_RNA from 1 species